rnacentral:rRNA from 1 species
GUCUACAGCCAUGCCACCCUGAACGUGCCUAAUCUCGUCUGAUCACGGAAACUGCUAAGCAGGGUCAGGCCUGGUUAGUACUUGGAUGGGAGACUGCCUAGGAAUAUCAGGUGCUGUAGUCG